rnacentral:lncRNA from 1 species
AAAAUAUUUCGAUAUCUUAACUCUCCAAGAAGGUAUUAUUGAAAUGAUAGAAAAUGUCAUCUUUGUAAUCUUGGUAGCAUUGGAGACGAAUUGCAUUAUCUGCUAGAAUGUACAUUUGAAACUUAUCAUACUAUUUGGCUCGUGUUAACGUUAAUACACUAAAAAUUGGAAACGGAUGAGCAAACUAAACAAAAAGUCAGAUUAAAACAGACUUUAUAAGCUUAUAGAGUGUAUAAAUAAACAUGUGGGUCCUCCUGGCUAAAAUGUAUAUUAUUUUGAAACCCCUGUAUUAUAUAAUUAUAUAUUAUGUUUUGUAAAUAGAUGCAUAUUCUUGUACAUAUUUUGCACUCUCUCUAUGUAACUAUGUAUCUGCAAUGGUUAUGAGAAUAAAUAUAUUAAAGCAAUAAUUGAAUAAAUUAGAUUCGUGCUUAUCUAUAAACUCUUUUCAAAAAAAAAAAUAAUAUCAUAAUUAGUAAUCAGUUCAAGUAUCCUCUAUCUCUGGCAUCGGUGGGAUUUGGAUAUUUGUCUCUUUUCUUAGUAUUGGUAAAACUUUUUCAUAGAAAAUGACAGAAUGAAGAAAAAUAUAUGAGGUGUCCA